rnacentral:rRNA from 1 species
GACGAACUGUGCGAACGUUAUUCGGAAUCACUGGGCUUACAGGGUGCGUAGGCGGUUGUCUAAGUCCGAUGUGAAAUCCCCCGGCUCAACCGGGGAAUUGCGUUGGAAACUGGACGGCUUGAGUGAGGUAGGGGCGCGUGGAACUUCCGGUGGAGCGGUGAAAUGUGUUGAUAUCGGAAGGAACGCCGGUGGCGAAAGCGGCGCGCUGGGCCUCAACUGACGCUGAGGCACGAAAGCCAGGGGAGCGAACGGG